UUUGUAGCUGGUUAAGAAAAAAUACCUAUUGUUAUUACACACUCAUAAAUAACCCAAUUCUGGCAUAUGCUUUCAUACCAAACAAAAAUGAAUAAAUUAAACUUGAUUUACAGCCCUUUUCAUUUUUAUUAGUACCGCUCCGAAGAGUUUAUGUAAGGGACGUGCCAGCACAGUUAUGCCAAAUGUUUUAAGGCGUUGGUAUUGAUAUUAUAUAAAUUAAGGUGUUUUAAUUUGCAUUCUUUAAUUAACUAAAUACUGGCAGAAAAAUAAAACACAAGGGCAGCCCUGACUUAUUGCCUCUAUUAAACUGCUGACAUCUCCAAAAAGAUGUGUUAAGUAAUCCAAUUCACAAGGGGGUGGGAGGGGGAUAUUAACACGCUCCUUCUUGGCACUGUGCUGGGGUAUAAGAAAUGAAUCUCCUGCUUUGCUUGCAGUGAGAAAUGGAGGAGGGUAUGCUAAGGUCGGGAGUUUGUGUCCGCAAGGAAGAAGCUGGCCAACUGCUUGGAUUACCCAUGCUGCCCCGGGUCUGAGCCGAGGUCACCACACAGAGCUUUCAAGCACACUGUAACUAUUGCUGACUUUGCCGCCCAGCGCUGAGUCGUGGCUCCUCUGGGACUAGAUAAACUAGUCGAAUUUGUUGAAUGUGUCCUGGAUCAACCUGAUCGCACCACAAACCCGGAGAGAAGCAACCGUGGAGAUCUUUCCGUGGAGGGGCAGCUUCCGGUUCAUCCCAACCCACAAGAAACAGAAGUACCAGGAGUGCCCCAGUUCCACGGACCAUGAAUAGCUUCGGUUCCUCGCAAACUCUGGGUCCUACCACCCGCUCUGAGGACUUCUUAUUUUUUUAUUUCAUCAUCAUAAUGGAGACACUUUUUUCUCCCCCUGAGUUCUUCUGUUUUAACUUCCUGCUUGGGGGGUGGGGGGGGGGGAACGUUCUCAAUUUUUGCCAUUUCUCACUCCUACAGAAACAAUGCUAAGCCGGACACAGGGUCCUCAUUGAGCCAUCUGUCUACUGUGGCCUUGCCAUCCUGAGAGUGUCUGUCUUGUGUUCUUGGCCUAGUCUGGAAAGCAUCACGCGUCCCAAUAUGCAGGGGGGGUUCGAGCAAGCCAGCAGCUAAUUGCCCAGGUCUCUGAGAACUGACAUUAUGCAGGGCCCUCACCCUCCAGCUUCCUUCCCGGAUGAUUUUCUUUAUCUGCUCAAGGAAGAAAGGAUGGAUUCCAACUUCAAUAAUGAAAACCCUGCUCUUCUUUGCCAGCAUCCCAUCCCCCUCCCCUAUCCAAAAAAAAAAAAAAAAAAAAAAAUCUCACUUUCAUGUCGUUUCCCAUCUUGCAACUCUGUCAGUUGUUUUAAAACAACUGUUUUAAAACAUGUCUCCUGUCAUAAAUAAAAUCGUCAUUCUGCAUUUUGACGGCAGUGGUGUGGUGAGAAUUUCACAGCAGAGAUAGAGGACAGACCUGUGAGAGCCUGUUCAACUCUAGUGUUGCCUGGGGAGAAAGAGCCCCAUUCCACUCAGCUUUUAACUGCUGUGGCUUUUCUACUCCGGCUGUUGGGGUGGUUUAGAUAGGGUUUGCUGUCUUUAGAUAUGGUUUAUUGUUUAUUGCUGGGAAUUGGGUGCUCCGUGUGAUAACGUGAAAAAUCGAUGGACCCUUUAAGAGCUGGGUGCUAAGAGGUCAUUGGGACUGUCUGAUUAGACUGGAUCUGUGUAGUUUUGGGGGGGUUCCAGGUCUUUCUUGACUUCCGGUAUAACCAUGUUCUCUCUCCUUCCUUCUCACACAUAUUACUGCCAUGAUGUCACACAGCAAGGGGGGGAAGACGCACCAGAGAGAGGCCAUUUAGUCUCUGGGCCUCUACACUAAGGGC
rnacentral:lncRNA from 1 species